rnacentral:rRNA from 1 species
UGGGGAAUAUUGCACAAUGGGCGAAAGCCUGGUGCAGCAACGCCGCGUGAGUGAUGAAGGGCCUUCGGGUUGUAAAGCUCUGUCUUUUGGGACGAUAAUGACGGUACCAAAGGAGGAAGCCACGGCUAACUACGUGCCAGCAGCCGCGGUAAUACGUAGGUGGCAAGCGUUGUCCGGAUUUACUGGGCGUAAAGGAUGCGUAGGCGGAUUUUUAAGUGAGAUGUGAAAUACCCGGGCUUAACUUGGGUGCUGCAUUUCAAACUGGGAAUCUAGAGUGCGGGAGAGGAGAAUGGAAUUUCCUAGUGUAGCGGUGAAAUGCGUAGAGAUUAGGAAGAACACCAGUGGCGAAGGCGAUUCUCUGGACCGUAACUGACGCUGAGGCAUGAAAGCGUGGGUAGCAAACAGGAUUAGAUACCCUGGUAGUCCACGCCGUAAACGAUGAGUACUAGGUGUAGGAGGUAUCGACCCCUUCUGUGCCGCAGUUAACACAAUAAGUACUCCGCCUGGGGAAGUAACGAUCGCAAGAUUAAAACUCAAAGGAAUUGACGGGGGUCAUAGCUGUUUU